UAUUGAGAGAGUUUGAUCCUGGCUCAGGAUGAACGCUGGCGGCGUGCCUAACACAUGCAAGUCGAACGGAGCUGAUUGAACGGAGAUUCGUCGAAGAUCAUGAAAGCUUAGUGGCGGACGGGUGAGUAACGCGUGGGUAACCUGCCUCAUAGAGGGGGAUAGCAGAUGGAAACGACUGAUAAUACCCCAUAAGCCCACAGUACCGCAUGGUACAGAGGGAAAAGAUCUAUCGCUAUGAGAUGGACCCGCGUUUGAUUAGUUAGUUGGCGGUGUAACGGACCACCAAGACGACGAUCAAUAGCCGGACUGAGAGGUUGAACGGCCACAUUGGGACUGAGACACGGCCCAAACUC
rnacentral:rRNA from 1 species